rnacentral:pre_miRNA from 1 species
AGAAGUGGGCCUGAUCCAAAGUCCAUGAAAGCCAAUCGGAGUCCCCCCAUUGACUUCCUUGGGCUUUGCAUCAGGCCCCCUAGCU